AUUGAACGCUGGCGACAUGCCUUACACAUGCAAGUCGAACGGCAGCACGGGAGCUUGCUCCUGGUGGCGAGUGGCGAACGGGUGAGUAAUACAUCGGAACGUGCCCUGAAGUGGGGGAUAACGUAGCGAAAGUUACGCUAAUACCGCAUAUUCUGUGAGCAGGAAAGCAGGGGGCUCGUAAGACCUUGUGCUUUAGGAGCGGCCGAUGUCGGAUUAGCUAGUUGGUGGGGUAAAGGCCUACCAAGGCGACGAUCCGUAGCGGGUCUGAGAGGAUGAUCCGCCACACUGGAACUGAGACACGGUCCAGACUCCUACGGGAGGCAGCAGUGGGGAAUUUUGGACAAUGGGCGCAAGCCUGAUCCAGCCAUGCCGCGUGAGUGAAGAAGGCCU
rnacentral:rRNA from 1 species